CUAUCUAUUAUUAAUAUAAUUAAAUUACUAAAGAGGUGAAAAUACCUCUAGAAUAAUAAAAGACGAGAAGACCCUAGAAAUUUUAUGUAAAGUGUAUUAUAUAUCUAUAUUAUCAUUUUGUUGGGGCGACAGAAUAGCAGUAAACCUAUUUUAAGUUAAGCGUGAACUUUUUAUAAAAAGAGACAAAAUUACUCUAGGGAUAACAGCAUAAUUAUUUAAUAGUUUGUGACCUCGAUGUUGGACUAAGGAAGGUUCUAUCCAAAAGAUUAAACCACGUGUUCUGUUCGAACAAAAUCCCUUACAUGAUCUGAG
rnacentral:rRNA from 1 species